rnacentral:rRNA from 1 species
AACGAACGCUGGCGGCAUGCCUAACACAUGCAAGUCGAACGAGACCUUCGGGUCUAGUGGCGCACGGGUGCGUAACGCGUGGGAACCUGCCCUUAGGUUCGGAAUAACUCCCCGAAAGGGGUGCUGAUACCGGAUAAUGUCUUCGGACCAAAGAUUUAUCGCCUUUGGAUGGGCCCGCGUUGGAUUAGCUAGUUGGUAGGGUAAAAGCCUACCAAGGCGACGAUCCAUAGCUGGUCUGAGAGGAUGAUCAGCCACACUGGGACUGAGACACGGCCCAGACUCCUACGGGAGGCAGCAGUGGGGAAUAUUGGACAAUGGGCGAAAGCCUGAUCCAGCAAUGCCGCGUGAGUGAUGAAGGCCUUAGGGUUGUAAAGCUCUUUUACCCGGGAUGAUAAUGACAGUACUGGGAGAAUAAGCUCCGGCUAACUCCGUG